AUUGAACGCUGGCGGCAGGCCUAACACAUGCAAGUCGAACGGAUAAAGGGAGCUUGCGCCUGGAUCUAGCGGCGGACGGGGGAGUAAUGCCCAGGAAUCUGCCGGGUAGGGGGUGAUAACAACCGGAAACGGGCGCUAAUAACACAUACGACCAGAGGGAGAAAGUGGGGGGGGUUCGGAACGCACCCUAUCAGAGGAGCCUAGGUCGGGUUAGCUAGUUGGUGGGGUGAGGGGCUACCAAGGCGACGAUUCGUAACUGGUCGGCGAGGAUGAUAAACCACACUGGAACGGAGCCACGGACCAUACUACUGCGGGAGGCAGCAGUGUGGAAUAUUAGACAGCGGGCGAAAACCUGAUCCAGCCAUGCCGAGUGUGUGAAGAAGGUCUUCCGAUCGUAAAGCACUUCUAGUUGUGAGGAACCGCAGUCACUUAAUACCUUGCUGUUUUGACGUUACCAAGUGAAUAAGCACCGGCUAACUUCGUG
rnacentral:rRNA from 1 species